UCUGCAAGUUAAGUGUAAUUUCUGUUUUACAGAUGAGAAAACUGAAGCUCAGAGAGAUUGAAGGGUUUACAUGGACCUGGCUGCUUCAGGCCCUCCAGACCAGCAUUGAUUGCCCAGAGUUACAAGAAAAGGAAGCACAAAUUCUCCAGGUGGCUCACUGAGAGUGAUGAAGAGACUUCUGUGAUCCACUCACCCUGGAGCUGCAGUAGGGGACAGAUGUAAGCCAGGUAUUAGCAACCCAGAUGAUCUUGGGAAGCCACUUCAUUGAAGACAACAGAGCCUCUGUCAGCCCGGCUCCUGAAUAACUACCACAAUCUCCACCCUUUUCCUCUCCUCAAACAUGAAGAUCAGUAUUAAACUAUUACUUGAGUAAAAAAUAAGGUUUUGUUUUGUAUUAAACCAUUGCUAUUUGGGAGUUUAUUUGUUGUAGCAGCUGGCAUUGCCUGAACUAACCCAACUGAAUUAAAUUAUCCAGGCUCUUUAAUGUUCUUGCUUCUCUUUCUUUCUUAUUUUGCUUUUGAUGCUUUCUAUUGGAACUUGCUUAAUCAUUUGAACUUAAUUCAUGAACCUGAGAUUCUGCAGCUCAUAGCACACUUUUUCAUGGCAGAGUUAGUUCAUUUGUUACUCACUGAGCAAGUAUUUAAUAAACAUGUAUCCUGUGCUACAUGUUAAGUGCCAUAUGGGACCAUAAGUAAAAUUUUUUAAAUGUCCCUUUAGAAGUGACUAACGCAAUGAUGUUAACUACCAGGAUAUUAAGGCAACAUUGCUCAUUAUAGCAAAAGACAGGAAAAUGCAUAAACGUUCAAGAAUAGAAAAAUGGAUAAGUAAGUCUAUAGUAUAUUUGUCUAA